UACAGAGGUCUCAAGCGUUGUUCGGAUUCAUUGGGCGUAAAGGGUGCGUAGGUGGCGAGGUAAGUCGGGUGUGAAAUCCUGGGGCUCAACCCCAGAACUGCAUUCGAUACUGCUUUGCUCGAGUACUGGAGAGGAGAUUGGAAUUUAUGGUGUAGCAGUGAAAUGCGUAGAUAUCAGGAGGAACACCGGUGGCGAAGGCGGAUCUCUGGACCAGUUCUGACACUGAUGAGCGAAAGCCAGGGGAGCAAACAGG
rnacentral:rRNA from 1 species